UGUAUAUAUCGAUUACAAAGCUGUGUUAGGAAUUUAUGUCACUUUGACUUGAGCAACUUUGUUUUUAUUCUGUGUUGACGAUGGGGCGAAGGAAAUCUAAGAGAAAGCCGCCACCGAAAAGGAAAAAUAUUGAACCACUCGACCAACAAUUUAACUGUCCGUUCUGCAACCAUGAAAAGUCCUGUGAAGUAAAAAUGUAACUAUCUUCAAUAUACGCACGACUGUGCUUACGAACCAUUAAUCCUUGCUUAGUACAUUAUUGAUGGGUUUUACAUAGAGGGUUUCCUUAAGCUCCUUAUUAGUAUUAAUAUACAAAUGUUUAUAGUUUUGGCCAAAGGAAUAGGAACUAUGAUCAGAGUAAUGCCAAAAUUCUAGUUACACCAUGAUGAAUCUUAGCUCUAACAACGUCCUAAAACGUGCAUAUGGACAAACUAUGCUUGUGGUGAAGCAACGAGAUGAAAAUAAAGGACGCAUUGGGACCAUUUAUAUAUGUGUGUAUGCAAGUAUCUUUGCACAUGCAAAUGCACAAAAGAGUUAAAUGUUCGAUGCUCCGGAAUAGAUUAACUGAACCAAAAAAAUUUAACUUUGAAAUUAAAUUAGAAACGAACCAUGUCCGACCGCCCAACUGCUUGUGCAUGUAAACAUUUGCGUUCCUGAUACUUUUUCUUAGAACUUUUAACAAUGUUUAAUUUUUAUUUUAAAUUUCAAUGUUUUGCAUUGACUCGCUCAAACUGUACAUUAACGGCAUAAACUAUUACUCCCUCCAUACGAUUUUUACUCUGAAUGGCUUGAAAACCCUGUGUAAAUGUAAUUAUAUUGUUCAUUUUAAAUCUUUCAGGGAUAAAGGAAGAAAUACAGCGAAAAUAACUUGUCGAGUGUGUUUGGAAGACUUUCAAACUGGAAUUAACUUUUUAUCGGAGCCAAUUGAUGUGUAUAAUGAUUGGGUAGAUGCAUGCGAAACGGCCAACUAAUUUCGAUGUCUUAAAUAAAAUUGAACAAAAUGUAUUUAAAUAAGUAUAAUAAUUAUAGAAUAUUUUAUUGAGA
rnacentral:lncRNA from 1 species